AGCUCAUCCUCUCCAGUGGCCUUGUGGUUAGAGCAUCCACCUCAGAUGCGGGAGGUUGUGGGUUUGAUCCCAGCCUGAGUCA